rnacentral:rRNA from 1 species
AACGAACGCUGGCGGCGUGCCUAACACAUGCAAGUCGAGCGCGAAUGGAGCAAUCCUAGUAGAGCGGCGCACGGGUGCGUAACACGUGGGUAACCUGCCCAUAAGACUGGGAUAACUCCGGGAAACCGGGGCUAAUACCGGAUAACAUUUUGAACUGCAUGGUUCGAAAUUGAAAGGCGGCUUCGGCUGUCACUUAUGGAUGGACCCGCGUCGCAUUAGCUAGUUGGUGAGGUAACGGCUCACCAAGGCAACGAUGCGUAGCCGACCUGAGAGGGUGAUCGGCCACACUGGGACUGAGACACGGCCCAGACUCCUACGGGAGGCAGCAGUAGGGAAUCUUCCGCAAUGGACGAAAGUCUGACGGAGCAACGCCGCGUGAGUGAUGAAGGCUUUCGGGUCGUAAACUCUGUUGUUAGGGAAGAACAAGUGCUAGUUGAAUAAGCUGGCACCUUGACGGUACCUAACCAGAAAGCCACGGCUAACUACGUGCCAGCAGCCG